UUAUUCACAGGUGAUGUGUCCAGUUGUGUGGCGGGAUGAAUACAUUCUUAUUAAUUAUUAAAUCGCUCAGAUGGUCCUCCUCCCCAAACCUGACAUUUACUGAAAAAAAGUAAUUGAAAAGGAUUUGGCCAGUUCCACUCCCUGUGUUCAAACGUUAUAUAACAGACAACUCCACCUCUCUGCUCCCUCUCUCUCUGUCUCUGCUUUCAGGCUAACACACAGUUUAUUGGGUAUCAAUAAAACAUAAGAAUUACUGCUGGUAUAACAAUAGCACCUCUUUGCAACCUUCAGCCUGCUUAGCUCCCAGGAAUAGCGUGCUAAUGAGGGUGUGCAGUGUUUUGGACAGAUGCUAGAGCGUUAUGCUGGGCUGAUAACUGCAUCUCUUGGAUCAAACACUGUGCUGGGAUGACUCAUGCCUUUUACUAAUUUAUAAGAGCAGUCUUCCUUGAAAUCCCAAUGUAAAUACUAGUGCCCUGUUCUCUGUGAGUGACUACAGCCUUGAAGUCAACAAAAGUAAUGGGCACUCUGCGUGGUGUAACUAGUCACCAACGUAUUCCUUUUUAUCCCCUGGAUGAUAUAUUUGAAUUUUGCGUUGUUUUGCCUUGGUUUAAAUUUUUACUCUUUUUUUCCCAGGGGCUGUAUGAACACAAGGACCACAUAGCCCGAAGAGGAGCAAGGACAGUGGACAAGAGCAACACAAAAAGGCUGAGCCUUAGUUUUGAAAAGAGGGAGGCUGGAGCUGUAUUGCAAGCCAGAUGGUUUGGAUGCACAUAAUUCCCUAACUUAAAAUCAGGGUUCAUUUACUGCAUGUGUUUCCUUUACAGGAUGGUCACUAAACAGGAUGGUAUCCUGUUCACACCUGUCAGGAGUGAGAAAUGAGGAUUUAAAAAAUCAGACUCAGUACAUUUCCUUUUCCAUUUUGACUGAAGAGAUAUUUACAAGUUUUUCUAUCUUCCUGGCUUGUAUUGUUUUUUAUAUCCCUGUAAUUAUUCUGUGCAAACAAGGUGUUCGUGCACUGGCAUGACUAGAUAAAAAUACUAGAUACCCCAUUGUACUUGCUAAAGACAUUGGGCAAACCUGAGAGUGAAGACAUGGUUUACAUCUUCCCUUACUGCCAAACAGUGGUUUAGCUGAGCAUAAAAGAAGAUUCCCAAAGUGCCUGAGCAAAGCCAUUUUCACAGCCGGUUUCAAGCACCUUUGCUUUUAGGUCAAUGAGCAUUGCUAUCCACAGUGUGACAUCCUCAUCCAAGCCCAGAGUCCUGCAGGACAGGAUGGGAUAACUCACCGGUCAUGGCCCUCUCACUGAUUCUAAAGGGAAGGUAAAUGAUGAGCUCAGACCACACAUCAGAUCUUCAGGUACCUAGAAAUAGAUGAGAGGACCCCCUGAACUGGAACAGAACCAGUUGCUUUGUCAGCAGUGAGCUAUCAGCAAGGUACUGAUGUGAAGCUGAGAUGUAAAAUCCUAAAGUCCCACAUCCCAUUGCUAUCAUUAAUAUCACAAACUGUGAGAAAUCUGUAUGUGCUGACAGUGAUUUUUCAAGGUAAGUAGGAAUCUCUUUUCCCCCAUGUCUUGUAACACAGCCAUUUUAGGCAGAUCCCUUUCCCUCAGUUACUCCAGACACCUCUUUGACCACAAGCUUGCCACCAAGGAGGGUCCACUCUUCCACAACCUGUGAUAAGUGCUUUUGUAGGCUACUUCAGGGUUCAGCUUGAUUUUAAUUCUCUCUCUCUUUUUUUUUUUUUUCUCAUCAUGUCCUGAGAUGAAGUGGGGCUGGCACCAACUUCAGAUAUCAAACUGUUAAAGAACUGAAGUAGGUUGAGAAGGAUUGACCCAUGGCAAAGGGAAGAAGAAUGAAACCGGGACCCAAAGCAUUGACACCUCCCGCUACUCGAAAGCAUCUCUGCUGGGUUUGCAUCUAUUCUGAAAACUAGCCAUGUGCUGGAGGACACUUCUCCAGGAACCAGCUGGUCCUCACAGGCCACCUAUCCCAGCACGUGCUCAGCAAUUUAAGGCAGAAACUCUACCCUGCUAAUGUCUCUAGGCUGAAUAGCUUCCUUCUCAUGGUGUGAGUGCAGCCUUGCUCUAUGGUACAUCACAGAUACUCAGAUGAAACUGUCUGCAGUCUGUUGACAGAUAUGGUACUUCUAGUCUAUACAUGGAAUGUGUGAUUUGCACAAGAAAUAGAAGCAGUAGUUCCCUGUGUACAAAACCCCACCCAAUUUACAAGUAUUGUCAUGACCAAAAUCACAGUUAGAUUAUUAUUGGGGAAAUAAUAUUAUGAUUCUGUCUCUAGAAAGUGUUGCUGAAGUUUCGACUUUGGGAAACCCUUUCUGCCACAUUUGAUUACAAAUGACUGUCACAUGCUUACCACCCUUACUGCUCCUUCUCUCCAAAAAUUCCCAACAAUCAAACCUCAGCAAAGAAGUGGCCUGCUCAAACAGCAUUUUGAAACAGUGCCUGAAGGUUUCACUAAUCCUGUUGAACUUAUGUGGAUGGUGCUCUGGUGUUUGAGGGGAACCACAUGCUGUGUGAAAGUGCCCCAGGGCAGACCAAGGUAAUGGGCAGAUGUGCAUAGUCUUGUGUUACAUAUCUAUCUAGAUGACAUGUUUGUAUGUCAAAGCUGCCAUGACUUCUGAAAAUCAGUAUAUUAUUCCCUUUGAAAGUGCAUUUGCCUGUCGUCAUGAUGUACAUACUGAUCAAGAUUUCAAAGUCACCAGAGGUCUCACAAUUCCCACUUAUGAUGAAUGGGAUGAGUCUGAAUCCACACUGAAAAAACUGAACUAUUUGUCCCUAGUUUUUGGACUUUUGCGCAUAAUUUUCCCUUAAGGUGAUAUGGACUUGUAAAUGCUCAGCUUUCACAAAAAACAGUGUCUGAACAACCUGGUAAAAUGAGAGUCUGUACUGCAAUGGGGGAGAAAGGAACGUAGGAGAGGACCAGAGCUGCUGCGCUGGAGCAUAUACUGUGAUGCAUGCACUUGCUUGGGGCUUGAUUUAAAAAGAAAUCUGUUCCCAAAGAAAACAAUGAGAUUUUUACGUUUUGACUGACUGAAGCCUUGAUGCUGUUCCACAGCAUGAGAGCAGCAUCCUUCCUUAGAAAGACAUCAGCAGUCCCAAGUGGCUAUUUCUGCUUUUGUAGUGAGAGAGAAAAUGGCAAGUGAGAGAAAGAGAAAAUGAAAUGCCUCUGACAAGAAAACAAUGUGCCAGAAGCAACUCCUUCAAAUACAGAAAAUGACGACACUUCUGGAGUGAAAUGCAGGAAGAAAAUAUGCAACUCAAGGCAAAAGAGUUCCAUCAGAGAUGGCUUUAGCCCAAGGACUUAUGCAAAACAGGUCCAUCAUGUCUCCAGUUUAGCAAGAAAAAGCAAAGGAACAAGAGAGUAGAGGAUAACUCCAAUGGGGAAAGCAACUAGCCCUUGCAUGAGUGGCUUUUAGGCCUGAGCAUAUGCAUUAGACAUAUUAAUUUCCUCAAACUGUAUAUUUUCAUGGCUCUUUCCUCUAUGGCUUACAUGUAUGUGUUAGAAUCAGUUCUGUCUUAUCAUCAUUGCCAUGGUUACCUUAUCAUUAUUGUAUGUAUGUGUUGCUGUAUUGCUAUUGCAGAUGUCUUACCAAAGUUCCCUAAAGCUAAAUGAUCCCAGAACUUACUCUGCACACAUCCCAAACUGCUAAGCAUUUGUAUCUUUUAUGAUCUGUUUCACAGCUAAAACAAAGUUGGCUUGAACAUCUCUGCUGAAAUAAAGCAGAGAACAAAUUACUCCAUACAUCAUCUUUACCAUAAACCAAUUCCUUACAUCAAAUGCAAAAAACCCCUUCUACUUAACUGGACUUCUCAGCAGCCUGAUUUGCCUUUACUUCCAUUACUACAUUGCCAAAAAUCACAGGAUUGUUGAUGUCUGCAGCAGGGAAGACAUGUCAGUCUCUGAAAUGAGGCUGUCAUGAUAUAGCAAACACAGAGGUCAUUAUAGCAGGGUAGGGCACAUCUCAAAGGCCAGGACAGAGAAAAGUUUGUGUUUGGGAUGAAAAAAUCUUUGCUGGGAGCAUGAUGCUACAGGGCUACAAAAAUUGUCAGAGAGAUGGAACACCUCUCCUAUGAUGAUAGACUGAGAGAGCUGGAGUUGUUCAGCCCAGAGAAGACUCUGGGUAGACCUUGUUGUGGCUUUUAAAUGCUUAAAAGGAGCUUAUAGGAAAGAUGGCAAAAGACUUUUUAGUAGGACCUAUAGCAAUAGGACAAGGAGUAAUGUUUUUAAACUAAAAGAGGGUAGAUUCAGACUAGAUAUAGGAAAGAAAUAUUUUAUGAUGAGGGCAGCGAAACACUGAAACGGGUUGCCCAGAGAGGUUGUAGAUGCCCCAUCCCUGGAAACGCUUAAGGAUAGGUUGGAUAGGUCUCUGAGCAACCUGAUCUAGUGGAAGAUGUCCCUUCUUAUUGCAGGAGGGGUUGGACUAGAUGACCUCUGAAGAUCCCUUCUGACUCAAACCCUUCUAUGAUUCUAUGCAGUCUUUCAGAAUAGAAUUGGGGAAACCCAGAUGUUAACAUCUGGUUUUAAUCCAAACUCUGUAUUAACUUCCAAUGGACAAAUGAGUGCAGAACUCUCAUCCUAAAGAGUAACUCAGCUCAGCACUAACAACCAGAUUUUUCAUGCUAUUUAUCCUUAUUAUAACAACUACUCCUUACUACAUACACAAGCAGAGGCUUUGAAUAUGUUGUGAUAAUGAAUGUCAUUAUGACGUUAGAGUACAAUGGUGUGAAGAAAGUGAUUCAUCACUGGUAAGAGACAAACAAACAAAUUUAUUGGAUGAUACAUUGCCUAGAUGCACAAUUCUAAGUUUAUAAGCAAGAGGUUAUGUAUUGUUCCACAGCUGUAGUCUAGUAUUACCAAACUAGAGAAUACCAAAUACAUUUAAGAUUUUUGUAAUAAUUCCCAUGAUAAGAGGAAUGAAAUCUUAAACAAAUAGAAGUAAAUAGCAGAACCUCUAAGUGGAAAGUAGUAAUUGUAGCAGUGAAACUUUUCUGUUUAAGUUAAGGAUGACUCACAAUUUGUCAGUAAGUGCAGCUAACUGACCGUCUUUUUAAGUGGAAGUGGAAACUGGGACAUAAGGUCAUCAUGAUACAGCAAAUACAGAGAUCAUCAUACUUUUUAACUAGAGACAAAUAAGGCAACACUUGUCUUGUCACAUGUUCAAAUUACACAUCACUACCCCAGACUGACAGUGAUCCCAUCACUCCACUAUACCUGCAGUUAUGGGCCAUGGAAAGAACUACUAUUAUGUGGUAAAAUUUUCAUAACUCUUCAUAGAUAUUGCUCUAUCCUCUGCUAGCACCCAGGAGGUUUUGUCUGAAUGUUCGUUGCUUUGAGAUGCCUCAAAGAUGCCUGGUUUGCUGGGAAGGCCCAGCUGAAUGAUUGCUAACCUGGGGACAUCUUGACGUUGGAAGCAGGUUUUCAUUUCAGGGAGAUGCAGAGACAAAAGGGCUCGGGCUGCCAGCUGGGCUCUCCUGGGCAAGUUGGGGCAUCUCUUGGGAUUGAGUGUGUGUGAAUAGAUUUUUCCUAACAGAAACAACCUUCUGGCUCUAAAAAAUUUAGAUUCUUGGUGUCAGGUAUUUGUCUUUUUUUUCACCAUCCAUCUGGGAAAUGCAGAUUGUGUUCAUUACGCCAAACAACUUUCAAGGGUCCGUGCUGCCUGGAAAACUGCACUGAAGUUCAAGAUAGGUUGUCCUGUCCCUACAGCAGAAACUGGAUUCCCCAGCUGGUGACAUGCUUUCCUUUCUUCAGGCUUUACUGCAGUGAGUCCAGAAAAAGGACAAGAAGAUGAUUCUCAGACUCACUCCAGUAUGUCAAUGUAUCUUGUGUACUGGAGACAGCAGACCUGGACCCAGAACUCCAGAUAUCUUACCAGGGCUGAGAAGAGAGGAAGAAUCAGCUCCCUCAAUAUGCUGGCAAUGCUCUUCGUAAUGCACCCCAGGAUACUGUUGGGGUUUUUUGCCACAAGGGCACAUUGCUGCCUCAUGCUCAGCUCAGUGUCUACCAGGACCUCCAGGUCCUUCUCAGCAAAGCUUCUUUCCAGUUGAUCAGCUCCUCUCGUAUACUGGUGCCUGGGAUUGUUCAUCCUCAGGGGCAGGACUUCACUUUUCCACUUGUUGAAAUUCAUAUGCUUCCUGUUAGCCCAUUUUUCUAGCCUCUGCAGGUCCCUCGGAAUGUUACCACACCUCUAGGAUGUAUCGUCCACUCUCCCUAAUUUCAUAUUGUCUGUGAAAUUACUGAGGGUGCACUGCUUCCCAUCAUCCAGGGUUCUAAUGAAGAUGUUAACCAGUACUGGCCCCAGUACAGACCCGUGGGGUGCACUGCUAGUCAAUUCCCUACAUUUGACCCCAUUGUUCAGACAGUUUUCAAUCCACCUCAUCAGCUUGACAGUGUUUGUUAAUUCCUGCUAGUCCUAAGGAGUUACCUAAUGGAGCCUGUGAGAUGGGACUACUGUGCAGGUCCCUCUCCUUUUCCGGCUGAGUCCAGGCAUUCAUGAGAUAGACUGGUGACUAACAUGCAGCCUGUCCUGAUUGUUUAGGAAAGUACAGUUUGUAACCGGAAUUGAAGAGGUCUGGUGAAUCCCACAACAUAAUAACUGAGUUAAAUGUAAAUUAUUUCAUCAUUUGUGAAAUUUCAAAGAUGCAUGUGCUCUUAUAAACAAAUUGAAAUAAAAAAACCCCUGGUUUUCCUUGGGUGCUAUUGGGUUUUUCCAAUGCCUGCUGCUUUGCACCGUCUGUGUACAGGGUUGAGUGUGAUUAUCCAGACCUUGCACAUGUGAGGAAGCUUUAUGAGCUCUGAGAUCAGCACCAGAUGGUGGCUGGGUGCUCUCCUUUUCUCAACAUCCAUAGGAUGCCCAGCUAGCAGGAAGUGGAUGCAGCCCCCAGCAAUACAAGACAGGAGAGAAGAAGCAGGCUGUUCAGCAGGGCUGGUGGCAGAGUUGGCCCUGACCCUCAGGUAUGGUCUAGCAGAGAGGCAUGAAGAUCCUACACAAUCAGACUCUUUAAAGUCUAUAGAAAAAUGUCAACUGCCCCAUGCCGGAAAGUCACUCAAGGGGCCUUGCUUAUUAUGGUUAUUAUUACGUUUGUUAUGGUAAGAUGCUAUAGCAUAGUUUUGUAUGAUAUGAGUUCAGUUGUUAAAAAUUACCUUAAAAUGCAAAAUGCUGAGCCUGGUUCUCAUCUCUCCACCUUCUCCAAUCAAGAACAUCAAGGAAACAUGUGAGGCCAUCUCUGAAUGGCAACGUGCAGCACCAGUAACAAUGAUGUGGAAAUUAGCCUGAGGUUCACAAACAUUUGAAUGCAUUGGUGCUUUUGCCUUUGAACUUGUUUUUUAAUCACCUUCAGCUUCAUAAAAUUAUUCGUGGUACUUA